rnacentral:rRNA from 1 species
UGCCAGCCGCCGCGGUAAUACGGAGGGUGCAAGCGUUGUUCGGAAUUAUUGGGCGUAAAGCGCGUGUAGGCGGCUUUUUAAGUCAGUGGUGAAAUCCUGCAGCUUAACUGCAGAACUGCCAUUGAUACUGGAGAGCUUGAGUAUUGUUAAGGUAGGCGGAAUUGAUGGUGUAGCGGUGAAAUGCAUAGAUACCAUCAGGAACACCGAUUGCGAAGGCAGCUUACUGGGCAAUAACUGACGCUAAGGUACGAAAGCGUGGGGAGCGAACAGGAUUAGAUA